AGGUCAAAUCACCCUAUUAGUCCCAUUUCCAUGUUUAGUAUAUAUUUUUUACUUUUUUACCCUAACUCACAUUACUUUUUUACAAUUAUACCUUUAUUAAACUUUAUCAAUUAACCCCUAUUAAUCCUACAUAUUUUUAAUGAAACACAUUAAUUAUAUUUACCUACCCACCCAGCAAUCUUCUUUUUAUUCAUCAGACUUCUAUAUCUUCAUCAUUUCUGUUCAUCAAACACAUUAAUUCCUGAUAUUCUUGUUCGUUUGUUCAUCGAUUUUGUGGGUUUGGUCUUUGAAAUCUAGGAUCUUGGUUUGUUCUUGAUGAUUUUGCGGGUUUGAUGAACACUAGUAAGGUUCUUGAUGAUGAUAGCCCUAAAAGGGUUGAUCUUGAUAACCCUAAAAGGGUUGAUGAUGAUUACCCUAAUUAUCCUGAUGAAUCUGAUGAUGACUAUGAAUCAUCUGUUGAGACUAAUCCAUGUUGGGGUCGAGAACUGGAUUCUGAGGGUGAACCCAUCUACACUCCAAAAUCCGACGAUCCUAACCAUGUGUAUAAUUCGAUAGAUGCUAUAUUUGCUGAAAGUGAUUGUGAGUAGGAAGAAUGGCUUGGUAGCCUUGGUCCAUUUACAAGUAUGUUUAUGGUCAUUGAUUGCAUAUUUUUCUUGACUAGUGAUGAAAUGAAUUUUUGGCUUGUUAUUUGAAUUGAUGCAUUAAUGAAUACAUGCCCAAUGAACUUAUGUGAGGGCAAAUAUUAUGUGCCACAUUCAUAGCAUUAUUUUAUUCAUUUGUUGAUUUUAGGAGGCUUGGUAUUGCCACCAGAUUUGAUCUUGGAGGCUACCAAUUGCCACCAAAACCAAAUGUUCAUAAAAAUAAGGCUUUAACUCAAUGAUGAACGAAAAUUAAACCUGAGAAAAACUACUACACAACCACUGUUUUAAUUUCACAAUAAUUUCAAUACAAUUUUUUCACAAUAAACAACAUAAAUUUUUAUACUUGUUAUUUGAAUUUGAAACAAAUGUUUCCCAAAAUGUAUCCAAAAGCUAUCCAAAAACUGUCCAAAAGUGUGGUUGAUUGCUUGUAAUACCCCAGAUUUAGCUUGAAAAAGGAUUGAUAGACUAUUCAUAUCAACAAGGUGCAUCUUCUUUUCUAGGGAGCCCAUUUGCUAAGAACUUGGUGGAGAGCAAUCUUAGGAUGGGUGACCUCUUGGGAAGUUUUCCCGGGUGCGCACGAGUGAGGCCAAAGUGCGCUGGAAAGACUUGUGUUGGUUUGUGGGGCUAGUCUACAGUCUCUAAGAGUAGUCAUCAGCGGUCCGAGGGGCCGAGGUGUUACAUUGCUGUUUGUUAUGGUUUUUCUACAAAGUUGAAAUUCAUUAGCUACUUUGUUGAUUGUGCCAAGCUCUGGUCUUCUUUUUUGUUCAUGGAUGAUAGCAGUUUUUGCAUAAUUUGGAUUUUUUGAUGUGGAGUAACAUCUUUUGUUUUACCCAUUGUGUUUGUUUGGUGUGCAAUUAAUUUGUGCAAUUAAUAGAGCAUAUAUAGAGGAUUUUUGCUUGCUCCUUCCCAAAUUCUAUUUUGCUUAUUUUUGCUUUUUUCCUCCCAAAUUAUGUUUUCAAUUUUGGAAAUUUUGGAAUUUGAUUUUUGCUUGUUCCCUCCCAAAUUGUGUUUGGAGAAUUUUGGGUUAUUGCCUCCAGAAUUCUGUUUUUAGUUUUGGAAAUUUUGAGAUUUGAUUAUUUGAUUGUUCCCUCCUAAAUUGUGUUUGGAGAAUUUUGGUUUAUUGCCUCUAGAAUUCUGUUUUCAGUUUUGGAAAUUUUGGAAUUUGAUUUUUUGAUUGUUCCCUCUCAAAUUGUGUUUUGGAGUAUUUUGGGUUAUUACCUUCAGAAUUUUGUUUUCAGUUUUUAGAAAUUUUGGACAUUUGAAUACUUAAUGAAACAAAAAGAUUUGACAAA